rnacentral:rRNA from 1 species
AGUGUCUGGUGGGUAGUUUGACUGGGGCGGUCUCCUCCUAAAGAGUAACGGAGGAGCACGAAGGUUGGCUAAUCCUGGUCGGACAUCAGGAGGUUAGUGCAAUGGCAUAAGCCAGCUUGACUGCGAGCGUGACGGCGCGAGCAGGUGCGAAAGCAGGUCAUAGUGAUCCGGUGGUUCUGAAUGGAAGGGCCAUCGCUCAACGGAUAAAAGGUACUCCGGGGAUAACAGGCUGAUACCGCCCAAGAGUUCAUAUCGACGGCGGUGUUUGGCACCUCGAUGUCGGCUCAUCACAUCCUGGGGCUGAAGUAGGUCCCAAGGGUAUGGCUGUUCGCCAUUUAAAGUGGUACGCGAGCUGGGUUUAGAACGUCGUGAGACAGUUCGGUCCCUAUCUGCCGUGGGCGCUGGAGAAUUGAGGGGGGCUGCUCCUAGUACGAGAGGACCGGAGUGGACGCAUCACUGGUGUUCGGGUUGUCAUGCCAAUGGCACUGCCCGGUAGCUAAAUGCGGA